UAGGGAGUGAUGAGGGGCAGGCCAUGGGUGGUGAUUGGCGACAAUGAGCAACAGGGAGAGUCUAUGAUACUAGGGUACGUAGCAAUAGGGAUCAGUGGGGGGCAGGCCUUUGAUGGUGAUCGAUGGUAACAAGCACAAGAGAGAGUGGGCAAUGAGGGAUAGACUAAGGCGGUGAUCAAUGGUGAUUAUUAGUAUGGAGAGUUAGUGACAACAAUUUGCGUAGGCGAUAGGGAGUGGUGAGGGAUAGGAUGGGGGUAGCAAUCAAUGGUAAGGGUGGUGGGGAUCGUUGGGAGCGGUGAUCGACAACAACGAUUGAUGGGUUUUUGAAGGAGUGUGAACAUCAAGAAAGGAGCUCUAAAUAAUCAAGUUAAUUAUGCUUGAAAUUUGACGGUGUUGCCUUUGUUUUCAUGGACGCUUAUUUACUGUUUGUUGAAAUGCCAUAAAGAACUCGGGCAUUUGUGGCGCACUUGCAGCUGAAAGGUCUGUGAAUUGGUGGCAUAUAACUGCUUGUGGAUGCAGCAUCAAGCAGCCGCAUUCAGGUAAGAAUCUCUACACUAUAUAUAACUUUUUGAAGUACUUUUAUCUGAUCAUUUGUCUGCUGAGUCAUGUACGAUGAGUAGAACUUGGCCAGGCUAUCUACUAGAAUUUUAGCUGCUUGGUGUCCUAUUUGUAGUCCUUCAUCCCCAACUCGAGUUCCUCACAGUUGUCUACCUUUAGCCAACAUUAGAUGCUUCAGAAGAUGGCUUGGUGCAUACCAACUGUCUCAGCUAUUUGUGGUGUCCCAAAUUUUGGAGCACAAAGCAACUUGGGUUUUGUCUUAGAUGAUUUGCUUAUCAAAAUCACAACAACAAGGUGAAUUUGGUGAAUAAUCAUGAGGUGCUUUAAUUUUUUGCAGAAGGGAUAACAAAGGACUUGCUAGCAUUGAAUUUUUGGCAAGUUAUAAGAACUUGUUUUGUCUAGUUUCUUCUUUGCUAUUAUGUUAAAGUUUGACAUAUGGGAACUGCACUUGGUGCCGAGAGGAUAUCAAGUUUAUCCUGCCUUUUAUACAUGAUAAAGGCUUCUUUUUUUCUUUUUGAAGAUUAAUUUUGCAAACUUCCCCUAGGUAUCAGACACCAUCUUCAAUCUUCGAGAUGAUUCUUGAUCAGAGGUAUUUUAAGAAGCUUAAUUUUCCUUUUCUAUCUGAUGAAUGAUUAAGACUUUCACAGAGAUGAGAUCUACAGUUCUUAUAAUGUCCAUCUCCCUACUGAAAAACCUAUGAAAUGAAGGAUCUAAGACUUCCACAGAGGUGAGAUCUAAAUCUUUUUUAGUGUCCUAUAUAUUACCAUGUGUAGUUACAACUAUGAAGAUGCCCUACUGAAAAGCUAAGGACAAGUUCAAAAGAGUA